rnacentral:rRNA from 1 species
CGCGUAGGUGGUAGUGCAAGUCUGAGGUGGAAUCCCAGGGCUUAACCCUGGAACUGCCUUGGAAACUGCAUUACUUGAGUCAGUGAGGGGAGGGUAGAAUUCCUGGUGUAGCGGUGAAAUGCGUAGAUAUCAGGAGGAAGGCCGGUGGCGAAGGCGGUCCUCUGGCGCUGAACUGACACUGAGGCGCGAAAGCGUGGGGAGCAAACAGGAUUAGAUACCCUGGUAGUCCACGCCCUAAACGGUGGGUACUAGGUGUAGGGCUCGUAAGGGUUCUGUGCCGAAGCGAAAGCAUUAAGUACCCCGCCUGGGGAGUACGGCCGCAAGGUUGAA